rnacentral:rRNA from 1 species
GACGAACGCUGGCGGCGUGCUUAACACAUGCAAGUCGAACGGAAAGGCCCUGCUUUUGUGGGGUGCUCGAGUGGCGAACGGGUGAGUAACACGUGAGUAACCUGCCCUUGACUUUGGGAUAACUUCAGGAAACUGGGGCUAAUACCGGAUAGGAGCUCCUGCUGCAUGGUGGGGGUUGGAAAGUUUCGGCGGUGGGGGAUGGACUCGCGGCUUAUCAGCUUGUUGGUGGGGUAGUGGCUUACCAAGGCUUUGACGGGUAGCCGGCCUGAGAGGGUGACCGGCCACAGUGGGACUGAGAUACGGCCCAGACUCCUACGGGAGGCAGCAGUGGGGAAUAUUGCACAAUGGGCGGAAGCCUGAUGCAGCAACGCCGCGUGCGGGAUGACGGCCUUCGGGUUGUAAACCGCUUUCGCCUGUGACGAAGCGUGAGUGACGGUAAUGGGUAAAGAAGCACCGGCUAACUACGUG